rnacentral:rRNA from 1 species
GAUGAACGCUGGCAGCGUGCUUAACACAUGCAAGUCGAACGAAGCACUUUAUUUGAUUUCCUUCGGGACUGAUUAUUUUGUGACUGAGUGGCGGACGGGUGAGUAACGCGUGGGUAACCUGCCUUGUACAGGGGGAUAACAGUUGGAAACGGCUGCUAAUACCGCAUAAGCGCACAGCAUCGCAUGAUGCAGUGUGAAAAACUCCGGUGGUAUAAGAUGGACCCGCGUUGGAUUAGCUAGUUGGUGAGGUAACGGCCCACCAAGGCGACGAUCCAUAGCCGACCUGAGAGGGUGACCGGCCACAUUGGGACUGAGACACGGCCCAAACUCCUACGGGAGGCAGCAGUGGGGAAUAUUGCACAAUGGGCGAAAGCCUGAUGCAGCGACGCCGCGUGAGCGAAGAAGUAUUUCGGUAUGUAAAGCUCUAUCAGCAGGGAAGAUAAUGACGGUACCUGACUAAGAAGCACCGGCUAAAUACGUG